rnacentral:siRNA from 1 species
CGCAGGUGUGCCGUUGGCGGCGG